UGAGGAAUCUUGCGCAAUGGGGGCAACCCUGACGCAGCAACGCCGCGUGAGUGAGGAAGGCCUUCGGGUCGUAAAGCUCUGUCGGGUGGAAAGAAACGUAUAGAUGUUAACAGCAUUUAUACUUGACGGUACCGCCAAAGGAAGCACCGGCUAACUCCGUGCCAGCAGCCGCGGUAAUACGGGGGGUGCAAGCGUUGUUCGGAAUUACUGGGCGUAAAGGACGCGUAGGCGGUUGUGAUAGUCAGUUGUGAAAUACUUCAGCUCAACUGGAGAACUGCAUCUGAAACUUCACUACUAGAGUACAGGAGAGGGAAACGGAAUUCCCGGUGUAGAGGUGAAAUUCGUAGAUAUCGGGAGGAACACCAGUGGCGAAGGCGGUUUCCUGGCCUGAUACUGACGCUGAGGCGUGAAAGCGUGGGGAGCAAACAGG
rnacentral:rRNA from 1 species